GCGCACCAGUCGAGAAACUUUACAAUGUGCGAAAGCACGAUAAGGGAACUCUGAGUGCCUCCUAAGGAGGCUGUUCAGGUGUCUAAAAGCACCUGAAGGAAGGGCUGGGUAAGACCGGUGCCAGCCGCCGCGGUAACACCGGCAGCCCAAGUGGUAGCCACGUUUAUUGGGUCUAAAGCGUCCGUAGCCGGCUGGGUAAGUUCCUUGGGAAAUUUGGCUGCUUAACAGUCAAGCUUUCAGGGAAUACUGCUCGGCUUGGGACCGGGAGAGGUCAGAGGUACUCCAGGGGUAGGGGUGAAAUCCAUUAAUCCUUGGGGGACCACCGGUAGCGAAGGCGUCUGACCAGACCGGGUCCGACGGUGAGGGACGAAGGCUAGGGGCGCGAACCGGAUUAGAUA
rnacentral:rRNA from 1 species